rnacentral:rRNA from 1 species
UACGGAGGGUGCAAGCGUUAUCCGGAUUCACUGGGUUUAAAGGGUGCGUAGGUGGGCAGGUAAGUCAGUGGUGAAAUCUCCGGGCUUAACCCGGAAACUGCCGUUGAUACUAUUUGUCUUGAAUAUUGUGGAGGUAAGCGGAAUAUGUCAUGUAGCGGUGAAAUGCUUAGAUAUGACAUAGAACACCAAUUGCGAAGGCAGCUUACUACGCAAAUGAUUGACACUGAGGCACGAAAGCGUGGGGAUCAAACAGGA